GGGUCCAGUCUAAUUCUGCAUAAUGGUUUAAUUUUGUAGUCUCGCUUUUGGACCAGAUUAAAUCCCAUCCUUUAUUAUCCUUGUGCUUGUGAUAAUAUCAAAUUUCAAUGCACACGAGAAACGUAAAGGAACAUUA
rnacentral:snoRNA from 1 species